UACGUAGGGUGCAAGCGUUAUCCGGAAUAUUGGGCGUAAAGAGCUCGUAGGCGGUUUGUCGCGUCUGCUGUGAAAACCGGAGGCUCAACCUCCGGCCUGCAGUGGGUACGGGCAAACUAGAGUGCGGUAGGGGAGAUUGGAAUUCCUGGUGUAGCGGUGGAAUGCGCAGAUAUCAGGAGGAACACCGGUGGCGAAGGCGGAUCUCUGGGCCAUUACUGACGCUGAGGAGCGAAAGCGUGGGGAGCGAACAGG
rnacentral:rRNA from 1 species